GAACUUUCUUUGCUGAAGGAGAAUACCAGCAGAAGAAUAACAGACUUCAAUGCCAAGAAAAUAAUUGAGGACACCCAAAUCUUUGAUCUUAAAAGUAGAAUCCAAAAAAGACUUCAAAGCAUUAAUUUCUGGCAAGUCAUUUCCAGUUAAGAUAAUGUCAUCAACAUACACAGCCAACAGCACAAUAGAAGAACCAGAUUUCUUAUGAAAGAGAGAGUAAUCAUUAAGGGAGGAAGAAUACCCCUUAGAGCUCAAAGCUUCAGAAAGCUUGGCAUACCAUUGCCUAGAAGCUUGUCUUAAGCCAUACAAUGAUUUCUGAAGCAGGCAUACCAAAGGAGGAGAAGAAGAAGAGGAAGAAAUAGAAGAAGAAGAGGAAGGAACAGAAGAGGAAGCAGAAGAAGAAGAGACAACCAAACCAGGGGGCAGUUUCAUAUAAACCUCCUCAUUCAAAUCACCAUGGAGGAAAGCAUUGUUGACAUCAAGUUGGAAGAGAGGCCAGGACUGUUUCACAGCAACAGCAAUCAAAGAUUUAAUAGUUGAGAAUUUAACAACAGGGGAAAAGGUAUCAGUGAAGUCCACACCCUCUACCUGAGUGUCACCCCUAACAACCAACCUGGCUUUAUAUCUUUCCACACACCCAUCAGCUUUAUAUUUCACCUUAUAAACCCAUUUGCACCCAAUUGGCUUCUUCCCAGGUGGGAGAUGAACAAUGGACCAAGUAUUAUUGGCUUGCAAAGCCUCAAACUCCUUGGUCAUGGCAUCCUGCCAGGCAGGAUCAGAGGCAGCUUGCUGGUAGGAGGAUGGUUCAGCAGGUGCCAUGAGGACUGAGCUAUUACAACAAGGGGAUAAAGAACUAGUGCCAGAAAGGGAAGGAGGUAGGUUGCAAACAUAUUGUUUAAGAUGGGCAGGUGGAACAUGGGGUCUGGAUGAUCUUCUAAUAGCAGGUAACACAUGGUCUGGUUGAGUAGAGGAAAUAGGAAGAGCAGGAGGGCAAUGUGCUGAAGAAUCAACAGGAGAGGAAGGUGGAAUAAAGCUGGAAAUAGGUGGAUGUAAGGAGGAAGGAGGAUGGAAGGAAGAGAUACUGAGGGAAGAAUCAUCAUCAAUAGGUGGACACACAACAGGAGGAGGAAUAAUGGAGGAGCCCCCUGAAGGAGCAAAAGGGUAAAUGUUCUCAUGAAAAGACACAUCUCUAGAGACAAGUGUGAGUUUAGUCUUCAAAUUAUACAACUUAUAGCCUUUCUUGCCCAAUGGGUACCCCAGAAACACACAUGGAUCAGCUCUUGGAUGGAACUUGCCUCUAUGGUGUUUUGGUAUAGAGGCAAAGCACAAACAACCAAAAGAUCUAAGAUAGG
rnacentral:lncRNA from 1 species